rnacentral:rRNA from 1 species
AUUGAACGCUGGCGGCAGGCCUAACACAUGCAAGUCGAGCGGAUGAAGGGAGCUUGCUCCUGGAUUCAGCGGCGGACGGGUGAGUAAUGCCUAGGAAUCUGCCUGGUCGUGGGGGAUAACGUCCGUACACGGGCGCUAAUACCGCAUCCGUCCUGAGGUAGAACGUGGGGGAUCUUCGGACCUCACGCUAUCAGCUGAGCCUAGGUCGGAUUAGCUAGUUGGUGGGGUAAAGGCCUACCAAGGCGACGAUCCGUAACUGGUCUGAGAGGAUGAUCAGGCACACUGGAACUGAGACACGGUCCAGACUCCUACGGGAGGCAGCAGUGGGGAAUAUUGGACAAUGGGCGAAAGCCUGAUCCAGCCAUGCCGCGUGUGUGAAGAAGGUCUUCGGAUUGUAAAGCACUUUAAGUUGGGAGGAAGGGCAGUAAGUUAAUACCUGGCUGUUUUGACGUUACCAACAGAAUAAGCACCGGCUAACUUCGUG